AACGAGUUUACAUACACUUAGGUUGGAGACAUUAAAACGAGUUUACAUACACUUAGGUUGGAGUCAUUAAAACUAGUUUACAUACACUUAGGUUGGAGUCAUUAAAACGAGUUUACAUACACUUAGGUUGGAGACAUUAAAACUAGUUUACAUACACUUAGGUUGGAGUCAUUAAAACGAGUUUACAUACACUUAGGUUGGAGUCAUUAAAACUCGUUUACAUACACUUAGGUUGGAGUCAUUAAAACUAGUUUACAUACACUUAGGUUGGAGACAUUAAAACGAGUUUACAUACACUUAGGUUGGAGACAUUAAAACGAGUUUACAUACACUUAGGUUGGAGACAUUAAAACUCGUUUACAUACACUUAGGUUGGAGUCAUUAAAACGAGUUUACAUACACUUAGGUUGGAGUCAUUAAAACGAGUUUACAUACACUUAGGUUGGAGUCAUUAAAACGAGUUUACAUACACUUAGGUUGGAGUCAUUAAAACGAGUUUACAUACACUUAGGUUGGAGUCAUUAAAACGAG